UCGUGCUAGAUGGGGAGGUAGCGGUGCCCUGUACCUGCAAUCCGCUAUAGCAGGGUUGAAUUCCUAUAAUAGGCAUGUUUCUGUAAGGUCUGCCCUUUGCAAGUGGCAAUGAAAAUUGGGUCCUGCGCAACGGAAGUCUAUGAACCCCGUCAGGUUCGGAAGAAAGCAGCGGUAAGUAGUCCCUUUCGUGUGCCGUGGGUUUGCCUGAUUAGAGUUAACUGCAUUGGUUACGCUUGUAUAUGCAUGUCGAAAAUAGGUGCACGA
rfam:[Clostridium] straminisolvens JCM 21531 DNA, contig: contig00045.